rnacentral:rRNA from 1 species
UACGUAGGGGGCAAGCGUUGUCCGGAAUCAUUGGGCGUAAAGAGCGUGUAGGCGGCCCGGUAAGUCCGCCGUGAAAGUCCAGGGCUCAACCCUGGAAUGCCGGUGGAUACUGUCGGGCUAGAGUCCGGAAGGGGAGAGUGGAAUUCCUGGUGUAGCGGUGGAAUGCGCAGAUAUCAGGAGGAAAACCAAUGGCGAAGGCAGCUCUCUGGUACGUGAUUGACGCUGAGACGCGAAAGCGUGGGGAGCGAACAGG